rnacentral:rRNA from 1 species
AACGAACGCUGGCGGCAUGCCUAACACAUGCAAGUCGAACGAGACCUUCGGGUCUAGUUGCGCACGGGUGCGUAACGCGUGGGAACCUGCCCUUAGGUUCGGAAUAACUCCCCGAAAGGGGUGCUAAUACCGGAUAAUGUCUUCGGACCAAAGAUUUAUCGCCUUUGGAUGGGCCCGCGUUGGAUUAGCUAGUUGGUAGGGUAAAAGCCUACCAAGGCGACGAUCCAUAGCUGGUCUGAGAGGAUGAUCAGCCACACUGGGACUGAGACACGGCCCAGACUACUACGGGAGGCAGCAGUGGGGAAUAUUGGACAAUGGGCGAAAGCCUGAUCCAGCAAUGCCGCGUGAGUGAUGAAGGCCUUAGGGUUGUAAAGCUCUUUUACCCGGGAUGAUAAUGACAGUACCGGGAGAAUAAGCUCCGGCUAACUCCGUG